UACGGUAGGAGGCGAGCGUUGUCCGGAAUCACUGGGUGUAAAGCGCGUGUAGGCGGCCUGUCAAGUCUGCUGUGAAAGCGCCUGGCUUAACCGGGCGAGGUCGGUGGAAACUGGCGGCUGGAGGCCGGUAGAGGGGGGUGGAAUUCCCGGUGUAGUGGUGAAAUGCGUAGAGAUCGGGAGGAACACCAGUGGCGAAGGCGGCCCCCUGGGCCGCGCCUGACGCUGAGACGCGAAAGCGCGGGGAGCGAACGGG
rnacentral:rRNA from 1 species